rnacentral:rRNA from 1 species
AUUGAACGCUGGCGGCAUGCCUUACACAUGCAAGUCGAACGGCAGCGGACCUUCGGGUGCCGGCGAGUGGCGAACGGGUGAGUAAUGCAUCGGAACGUGCCAUUGAGUGGGGGAUAACGUAGCGAAAGUUACGCUAAUACCGCAUAUUCUGUGAGCAGGAAAGCAGGGGACCGCAAGGCCUUGCGCUCUUUGAGCGGCCGAUGUCAGAUUAGCUAGUUGGUGAGGUAAAGGCUUACCAAGGCGACGAUCUGUAGCGGGUCUGAGAGGAUGAUCCGCCACACUGGAACUGAGACACGGUCCAGACUCCCACGGGAGGCAGCAGUGGGGAAUUUUGGACAAUGGGCGCAAGCCUGAUCCAGCCAUGCCGCGUGAGUGAAGAAGGCC